ensembl:lncRNA
AGCCUUCAGUGUUCCCCCCGCCAAUAGCCUCAGGAUAAAGUGCAAGCCUUUACCACUUACCCAUCACCUGGUCUGGGUGGUCUGGUCUCUGGGAAUCACUUGGAGCUUCCAUGCUUGGUGGUCGGGAACCAAUAAAUAUUUGCUAAAGGAAUGAAGGAAUGAAUGGAUCCAGGGCUGCAGCAGUGGCAGAGAGGCAAACAAGCACGAGCUCCAGGAGAAGGUUAUAGUAGUUCUUAGUGAAAGAUCAAUGUGCUUCAGAGUGAGAUAGAUCUGGAUUGGAAUCCUUGCUGCAACACUUAAUAGGCGGUUGACUUACUAGGGCUCCCAAACGCUGUAGGUGCCACCUUCUCAGACUGUGAAACAGCUUCAGUGCAAACAGAGGUUUCAGAACUCUCCAACCAAAUACCAUCGUUAAUGGUGAAGAACUCCUGACAAUAAACAUUCCAGGGAUGUCUCAGACACAAAGCAGCUAUCAACUGAUUUGGAAUGAACGCCCGCUGUUAUCUGAAAUGAUCUUUUAAAACAUUUUAUGUUGGUCUAAGUAGGGUGGAGAGCUGACCGGUUGCAUGUUUAUGGCUCAUCUCUGUUCUUGAAUGAGUGCUCCUUCACGUCUUUUUUUCCAUAAUGGAUUAUAAUUAGCAGUAUGUUAGGGGCUGUAUCAUUAAACAGU